UGGCUCAGAGGGUAGAGCAUCUGCCUUCAAUGCAGGAGACCUGGGUUAGAUCCCUG
rnacentral:tRNA from 1 species